GAGGUGAAAGCAGAUUUCCCAUGAUUUUUGCUCCUAUUCCAUCUUCCCUUCCUGCACCUGCAGCCACAAGCAGCACCCGGAGCAAACUUUGAUGUUUUGCUUUAGAAUCUGUGCAACAGCUUGGAGAACACCUACUGGAUUAUGAUGAGCUUGGAUUGAACCUAGCUGGGCAGUGUGCACACCUCCUGCUUCAACUGCAACACACAGAGAAAGAAGGUGACAGCCUCAUCCAGCAGCUCCCAGCUCCAGUGAAAGGAUGCUCAGAUACUCAAAGCCCAGAUCCAAAAGGAGCAGGCCAGCCUCUGAUCCCAUUAAUGCUGGAAGCAUGUCAAGGAAGGAGCUUGCAGAGGAAAGGCUCUGAAGUAAAAGAUUAAAAGCAAUGACCUAAAUGAAAUAAAUCAAUCAGUUGGGUUAUUUUCCCAGGUUCUCACUUGAAGCCAUGCCAAGGAAUUCUGCUGAUACCACUAUGGCUUAAGGAAAACCGGCAUCGCUCUUCUGACUGUCACUGCAGGAAAACCAGAGUCUGAAGUGAUGGAGAAAAAGGGGGGAUCUGAAAUCAGCUUGGGGUUGGAUGGUCCCCACAUCCCACUGCCUGCCAGGAAUGUGACCAGCACCACAGCAAGGUCAGAACAAUUAAAGAGAGCACUGAGUCUGGGAGAAACCUGUGCUGUUGGUGGGGAAACCACUACAUAAACCCUAUCCCCAUCUCGCUCUGUUUCCUUUUGACAACCUCAGCAGCAGUUCUGAUGCAGGAAGCAUGAACAGAAAGCCCAACACCAGGGGAGGACCUGGAGUUCCAGAGCCCUCCAAGCAGGCAGGAAAAGUUGGGCUCCCCCGUUAGUGUGAGAUGGAAGUUGUGUGGAAUAUGGAGAUGAUUCAUUUCCAUUUAUUAUCUCAACCUUUCAGGAUUUAAAUGACAAUGUAGAAAUAAAUCACCUCCGAAGGGCAGUA